GGGUUGCUAACUCAAUGGUAGAGUACUCGGCUUUCAACCGACGAGCUCCGGGUUCGAGCCCCGGGCAACCCA
rnacentral:tRNA from 3 species